CCUACGGGUGGCAGCAGUGGGGAAUAUUGGACAAUGGGCGCAAGCCUGAUCCAGCAAUGCCGCGUGUGUGAAGAAGGCCUGCGGGUUGUAAAGCACUUUAAGCAGGAAAGAAGGGGUGGAAGUUAAUACCUUUCAUCAUUGACGUUACCUGCAGAAUAAGCACCGGCUAACUCCGUGCCAGCAGCCGCGGUAAUACGGAGGGUGCAUGCGUUAAGUGGAAUUACUGGGGGCGGAGCGCGCGUUGGCAGGUGAAAGCCCCGGGCUUAACCGGGGAACUGCGGUGGAUACUGUCGAGCUAGAGUGUGGUAGAGGGGAAUGGAAUUUCCGGUGUAGCAGUGAAAUGCGUAGAGAUCGGAAGGAACACCAGUGGCGAAGGCGGCUCCCUGGACUAACACUGACGCUGAGGUGCGAAAGCGUGGGGAGCAAACAGGAUUAGAUACCCCAGUAGUC
rnacentral:rRNA from 1 species